rnacentral:rRNA from 1 species
UACGUAGGGUGCGAGCGUUGUCCGGAAUUAUUGGGCGUAAAGCGCGCGCAGGUGGUUCCUUAAGUCUGAUGUGAAAGCCCACGGCUCAACCGUGGAGGGUCAUUGGAAACUGGGGGACUUGAGUGCAGAAGAGGAAAGUGGAAUUCCAAGUGUAGCGGUGAAAUGCGUAGAGAUUUGGAGGAACACCAGUGGCGAAGGCGACUUUCUGGUCUGUAACUGACACUGAGGCGCGAAAGCGUGGGGAGCAAACAGG